CGGGCGGCCGUGACCCUGCUGGAGUCCGGGGGGGAACUCCAGCCCACCGGGGGGUCCCUGACUCUGCUCUGCCGAGGGUCUGGGUUCAAUUUUGGGAACCACGACAUGUACUGGAUCCGCCAGAGCCCCAGGAAGGGCCUGGAAUACGUUGCAGGGAUCUACAGCAAUGGUGGCAACACCUGGUACGCUCCAUCAGUCAAGGGCCGGUUCAGGAUCUCCAGGGACAACGGGCAGAGCUCGGUGACGCUGACCAAGAACAACCUCAAGGACGAGGAUUCCGGCGCCUAUUUCUGUGCCAGAUGUGCUUACAGUGGUUGUGGUGCUGGUGGUGCUCAUGGUAUUGAUGGUUUUGGCCCAAUCACCAUCUCCGCAUCCCCGGCUGUCCCCAAAUAUCGCCAGAACCUUUCCCCACACCUCAGCCCUUGA